rnacentral:ncRNA from 1 species
UUACCAUCGAACACCGCGCUUAUUGGCGGUGAUGGCUUGUUUGAUGUGAUCCAUGUGGUAUUCUUUUCCCAUAGGUUGCGUGCCUAGCCCCGAACUCUCUGAAUCUUCCGCCAAGUUGAUAAACAGAGAUUCGGGGUUUGUCUUU